rnacentral:rRNA from 1 species
CACGAGGUGAGUAACACGUGGGCAACCUACCUUAUAGUUUGGGAUAACUCCGGGAAACCGGGGCUAAUACCGAAUAAUCUGUUUCACCUCAUGGUGAAAUAUUGAAAGACGGUUUCGGCUGUCGCUAUAGGAUGGGCCCGCGGCGCAUUAGCUAGUUGGUGAGGUAACGGCUCACCAAGGCGACGAUGCGUAGCCGACCUGAGAGGGUGAUCGGCCACACUGGGACUGAGACACGGCCCAGACUCCUACGGGAGGCAGCAGUAGGGAAUCUUCCACAAUGGGCGAAAGCCUGAUGGAGCAACGCCGCGUGAGUGAAGAAGGAUUUCGGUUCGUAAAACUCUGUUGUAAGGGAAGAACAAGUACAGUAGUAACUGGCUGUACCUUGACGGUACCUUAUUAGAAAGCCACGGCUAACUACGUGCCAGCAGCCGCGGUAAUACGUAGGUGGCAAGCGUUGUCCGGAAUUAUUGGGCGUAAAGCGCGCGCAGGUGGUUUCUUAAGUCUGAUGUGAAAGCCCACGGCUCACCGUGGAGGGUCAUUGGAAACUGGGAGACUUGAGUGCAGAAGAGGAUAGUGGAAUUCCAAGUGUAGCGGUGAAAUGCGUAGAGAUUUGGAGGAACACCAGUGGCGAAGCGACUAUCUGGUCUGUAACUGACACUGAGGCGCGAAAGCGUGGGGAGCAAACAGGAUUAGAUACCCUGGUAGUCCACGCCGUAACGAUGAGUGCUAAGUGUUAGGGGGUUUCCGCCCCUUAGUGCUGCAGCUAACGCAUUAAGCACUCCGCCUGGGGAGUACGGUCGCAAGACUGAAACUCAAGGGAUUGACGGGGGCCCGCACAAGCGGUGGAGCAUGUGUUUAAUUCGAAGCACGCGAGACCUUACCAGGUCUGACAUCCGUGACACUGUAGAAGAUAUGGUUUCCCUCGGGGGCACGUACUGGUGUGCAUGAUGUCGUCAGCUCGUGUCGUGGAGAUGUGGUAGUUCCGCACGAGCGCAGCCUGAUCUAGUUGCAUCAUAAGUGGGCACUCUAAGUGACUGCCGUGACACCGGAGGACGUGGGAUGACGUCAAUCAUCAUGCUAUGACUGGCUACACGGUCCAUGACAAUCACGUUGAUCAUUCGGGGAAG